ACUGCUUAAAAUGUAUGG
rnacentral:misc_RNA from 1 species